UCUGGUAGGCUGGGAAGCCUUGGUGGCGGAGGCUGGCUGUGGUGGGCAGGCUUCACGACGGGCCUGGAGAUUUCAUGCGUGUGUGCAGCCCCCGCUCCUUCAUGCCAUCCGAAUCAGUGAUUUGCUUUGCAUCAAUAGCCUGCAGAGGUGACGGGAUGCCACUUCUGCAAUUAAGUCUCAAAAGAUCGUGACCUCUGCCUCGCUAGCAGACUCUAUUGCAUUCUUGGCAUGCACAUGUUGACGAAGCAAGUUUCCAUAUUGGAGAGACCCAUUUGUCAAGGAACCAGGGGUGAGCUCUGGUCCACAGCUAUCAAAGAAGUCAGACCCUCGGUCCAGUAGCCUUUAAUAAACUGGGGGCUUGGAAGCGGACCCUUCCCCGGAUGAGCCUUCAAGAUGGGGAGCACAGACUCUGGGCUGACUCGUGAUCGCAGCCUUGUGAGACACUGUGAGACAGAGGACCCAGCCAAGCCUGGUGUGAUUUCUGACACACAGAAGCUGGGAGAUAGUGAAUAUGCACUGUUAUAAGUGGCGAAAUUGGAGUAAUUUGCUACAUCACAAGAGAUAACCAGCACACUGAGCAUUGAUUUGUAAACAUUUGUUGAAUGAAUGAAUGGAUGAAUAACUGUCAUGUCCCGCACCUCCUGAACAGGGCUGGGGAAGCAAGUGCCCCAAAGCACCACGGUCAAGCCUACGAUCUCCCUGGCCUCAGCCCUCACAGGUCUUCUCUCACAGACUGCACAGCGAGCCCCACAUGGGUGGCCUGCUGGCUCCCCAAAAAGCUAAUAUUAAGCAAAUGGCAUUAGUUUCGACUUCGCUUUUCUCAACACUACCUCUUCUGCCUGCUAGGAUCUGGUGGUCUCCUAAUAAGAUGAAUUUCAAAACCCAACAUGCAUCUUUUCUGGCAACGCAUGAGUUCUCCAACCGCACAAACAACUCCCCACCCUUUUUCUUGGUCAUCAGUGAUGCCAUACUCAUGUGGUAAAGCCCCCCAAAUCAAUAAUUCAUAGUUUAUGAGUAUAUUUCAUGAAUAUACAGGAUAUCAUAAAAAAGUAACAUACAUUUUUCCUAAUAGAAUUAAUACAUUUUCCAAGCAGUUCGGGUUGAGGCAAUUAUUGCACUUCCUGGGAGAUACAAAUUACUUUGCCCUCAGCCUCAUGCCAAAUAACCCCCAUAAGACACACACUAAUUACCCAGAAAUACACUGCCUGCCAUAGCUCAUUGACUAAUUGACAAUCAGUUUAAAACUUCAGCAAAAUAUCUUAAAACUUAGGCUUUGCAUUUAGCAAGAAAACCAAUUUUGUUUAUCUCCUCAUUCUGGUCCGCCUCAUUGGCAAAGUUGUAGUAUGGUUUGUAAGUAAUGACUGAGCAGGCUUAUUAUAAUGAUCAAUGGUAAGAGAACAGCGUUCCAUCAUACCGUAUAGCAUUUCCAUCUCUCAUUUCUGUGAUUCUAUUAAGGACAAUUACCAAUAAUAUAUCCAUUAAUGUGAUACAAAAAUAGAAUGCAACUCUGUAUGUAAUAGUUAUUACCAAUGUGGUCCCUUAAACUCAGUGUACAGCUGUCACUGACUCCUUCCUCAGGCACUUCUAAGAUGUGGCCCUUGCAUGCCCUAAACCCUUUGUGUCUGAUCCGAGCACAAGAACCCACUCAGUUCAUGCUGUACCUAUACACAUUCCUACUGCCUCAAAAACAAGUCAUGGGCAAAAGUCAGAUCUUUUAGAAUCAUUUUCACUAUCUUUUCUAUUUAUAAGUCACUGUUAGAGACCUUUUUUACAAAGCUAUGGUAGCCUACGUCUGCCUGAAUCUUUGUUUUCAUUCUCUUGAUUAUUCCAAGAGUUGGCAUACCACUACAAACCUUUGCUCUGGAUUUUCUAGAAUUGCUUUCUUACAGGGAAAGUGCAUCUACCUUCCAAACAAAUGAUUUUUGAUUACAUAUCUGGGGCAUAACCCAUUCAUAUUUUGGAGAUUGUGCUUGUAGGUGGUACAGGACAAAUCUGCAGGAGUAUAGAGUGAUAGAAGGGGCUGUCACUCUGGGACUGUGGGGCUGGCAUUUCUAUUCGGCUUGCAUCUGGUUGCAACCACAGAAUAUCCAACCAGGAGUGGCUUGAGCAAUUAGGGAUUUAUUUUUCUCACAGAAUGAGACUUCCAAAGGCGAGAAGUCUGGGGCUGGUGUUGUGGCUCAGUGAUGGCAUCGAAGCGUGAGCCCCUUUUGUUUUUCUACACUUCCAUCCUUUGCAUAUUGGCUGCUUGCCUCCUGCCCUGGAAAUGACUGCUGCAGAGAAGUGGGCGGGGUGUGCACCAGCUGCAUCUGACACUUCCGUCAGGAAAGCGCAAGCGCUGCCCCAAACCCCCGUCGGAUUUUGGCUCAGGUCUCAUUAGCCAAAACUGUGUCCCAUUGGCCACACCUGGCUGCAAGGGAGGCCUGGAAAUGGUAUAUGGCAGGGGAGAGGACCGAGGACCGUCCUGAUAAAUAGGGUUUGUUGGCAAGGGCUCACCUGUCAAAGCUGCAUGGGGACUGGUGCUGUGGAAAUCCUGUGAGCAGAAGAACGGCUCAGAGAAUCUUCCCGGGUGCAGAGCGCUUCGUGGUCAUGGUCGUCUCAUUCACUCCCAGCCCUGGGAGGUAGAAACGUAAUGCCAGAAAACAUUCUGCCUUUGAAGAACAAAAGUACAAAGAUGUUCCAACAAUUGAAGCUUCUAGUUUUGCCAAGUUGUUUAUUAUUCAUUGCAUUUGGAAACAGGGCAUGGAGAAGACCAUCAUCUUUCCAGCCUACGUCUCUUCAGCACGCUUCAAUUUAAUGUCACCGGCUAGGUAAGAUUGAACAAGAGUGUCUGUUGGCCUGCAACAAACCUGGUUGACAAGAGCCUUGUGUGUCACAGAGCAGAUCAAAAGUGGGCUUGGUUGUUGUUCAACACUGUGUAUUUUUAAAGAAAUAAAUCAAUAAUUUAAGUCGUUUUAAUGCGUGAGGAGGGCACUGAACUGACAGCUCAGGGCCCAGGCCUGUCUGUGGCCCAGGUGCAUCAUGGGUACUGGCCUGGAAACGUCCCCACCCAGCCCCGGGGAGCCGUGCUCCAGCCAGACUGCAGAGGAAGCACACGCAGCCUGGUGGCCGGAUCCCGGCGUGACCUUGGCCGUGCACAAGGCACUGCUGGGCAGAGUGGGGAGGAGACGCACUUACCAGACUCUCCUUUGGAGUGGACAACUGGGCAGGUUUCAGAGGUGAAGACCUCCCUGGUCCUGACCCACCACGACUGGAACUGAACCUACGAACCUAACGUGGGAAGUGGAUGUAGCAACUUCUUCAGUCGCUUCGUGUACUUGUAAAGGACAAAACAAAAUCCAAAACCAAAACAAAAAAUAACUCAGAACAAAGUCUCAACAAACAAGGAAAAAAAAAAUCUCCAGUCCGUGCUAACCCAAGUGGCCGUUAUUUUUGGCUAUGGGCUGGGCUGGUGAGAUGCUCUUUGGCCGUCUGUCGCUGUACGCUGCAGUGACUGGAAUUUUUUGUGAGCCGGGAAAGGGAUGGUUUUAUUUGGCCUCUGGAAGGGAAGUUGCUGAGAUAUGGAGGAAGCUUUGGGUCACAGGGUUUGGGCCAACAGGGGAGGAAGCAACUUACCUGGUGUCCCAUGUCCAGCAGGGGAAGGGGGUGGGACGGCACAGCCCACGCUUUGGCAGGAGGAGGUCCCUAGGUGAACACACUGCAGGAGCUUGUUCCAGUCCAGUGUUCCCCCAGGCGACUGCAACGCAGGGUCAACAUGGUCUGCUUAUCUUCAGGUAGACCUUGGCCACCUGAUCUAGGCCUUCUCCUGAAAUCGUCUUCAUGGAAGUUUCUAUGACUUGGUUUACUAGUUACUAUUCCCAUGCCUUAUGUUUGCUACUAGACUGUGGACACUUUGGUUUACUUUUAUGACCCACAUAGCUUCUACACACAAGGACACUUUAAAAAUCAAACAUGGACUUGGUUGUCCUCCCCCUUUAAGCUCUGGGUUUUGUGUACAUAUAAUAAAUUAUUAAAUCUUAAGUUGUGUUAUAAAAAAGAAUGACACUCGAGUCAUGAGAGAAAAACAAGAUUGUUGUUUAUGAACAUUUCACUAAAAUAUGCAUUUUGUAAGGCUCAUUGAUUUAUUUCCAAUUCGAGAAGCAACAUAGACAUACAGAACGGUUCAUUAGAUAUUCAUUAUACCUCCUUAGCUGCUUUUAUUAGAAGUGCCCGUGCUGCCAAUGGCAAGGUUGAUGUUUGCAGGGGUUGAAUCAAUGCUUGAAACUCAUCAAUUUCUUAUAGGCAGUUUUGGUUUAAGGUAUUUUGAUGAUUUUAUAGAAAUGUUUUACCCCAUUAAAAAGCUAUAACUUAAACCGUGGUGCAGGGCAGGCACACAUUAGAUGAUAAAUGGCUGUGUGUAAGAGAUUUCAAAUUUGUCAAAUCUGCAUUAAAGAACUAUAUUUGAAAUUGGUUGGAAGGUUGGGUGAAUUCUCUAGGUAAAAAUGACAUUUGUUUUAUGGAUUCCUCUGAAACAAUUCCCCAAGAGUUUUCAUUUGAAUAAAUCACAUCCAAGUUCAGCACUCCAGAAGCAGCUGGCAUGGUAGAGUUGCCUUUGCUGCUUUUCUGUUUCCUCUUUUUCCAGGAAAAGUGUUGAUUUCCUCAUCUGUAAAGGGAGUGAGACUGGAUGACCUGGAGGUGGGAAUAUUUAUAUUCAUUCAUU